UUGAACGCUGGCGGCAGGCCUAACACAUGCAAGUCGAGCGGUAGCACAGAGAGCUUGCUCUCGGGUGACGAGCGGCGGACGGGUGAGUAAUGUCUGGGAAACUGCCUGAUGGAGGGGGAUAACUACUGGAAACGGUAGCUAAUACCGCAUAACGUCGCAAGACCAAAGUGGGGGACCUUCGGGCCUCAUGCCAUCAGAUGUGCCCAGAUGGGAUUAGCUAGUAGGUGGGGUAAUGGCUCACCUAGGCGACGAUCCCUAGCUGGUCUGAGAGGAUGACCAGCCACACUGGAACUGAGACACGGUCCAGACUCCUACGGGAGGCAGCAGUGGGGAAUAUUGCACAAUGGGCGCAAGCCUGAUGCAGCCAUGCCGCGUGUAUGAAGAAGGCCUUCGGGUUGUAAAGUACUUUCAGCGAGGAGGAAGGCAUUAAGGUUAAUAACCUUAGUGAUUGACGUUACUCGCAGAAGAAGCACCGGCUAACUCCGUGCCAGCCGCAGC
rnacentral:rRNA from 1 species